rnacentral:rRNA from 1 species
GUGGGGAAUAUUGGACAAUGGGCGAAAGCCUGAUCCAGCCAUGCGGCGUGUGUGAAGAAGGUCUUCGGAUUGUAAAGCACUUUAAGUUGGGAGGAAGGGUAGUAACCUAAUACGUUGCUACUUUGACGUUACCGACAGAAUAAGCACCGGCUAACUUCGUGCCAGCAGCCGCGGUAAUACGAAGGGUGCAAGCGUUAAUCGGAAUUACUGGGCGUAAAGCGCGCGUAGGUGGUUCAGUAAGUUGGAAGUGAAAUCCCCGGGCUCAACCUGGGAACUGCUUUCAAAACUGCUGAGCUAGAGUACGGUAGAGGGUGGUUGAAUUUCCUGUGUAGCGGUGAAAUGCGUAGAUAUAGGAAGGAACACCAGUGGCGAAGGCGACCACCUGGACUGAUACUGACACUGAGGUGCGAAAGCGUGGGGAGCAAACAGGAUUAGAAACCCCGGUAGUCC